rnacentral:lncRNA from 1 species
AGAAAAUGAGUGAGGCAAAGACAAUUCACAAAACACAGCUACCUCCUAUGCAAUGGCUCUGCACACAGCAGCUAGCUACUGAGGAUGACAUGACCCUGUGCAGAAAAUGAGCACAUCCUCAAAAAUUUCCUAAAACCAAUGUAGCAAGGGUUAGCAAGUCACUGCUGAAUAACACUAUCACUACACAGCAAUUCCAACCCUCCCAAGAGUGGCAUGUACCCUGGGCAUUGAGCUGAGAACAAGUGUGUCUGCACAGCCAGCAAAGAAAGAAUGAACAAGACAACUGCUCUCAAGUGUGAAAGUCAAACACUUGUCCAUGUGCCCUCCUUCUCCACUACCAACCAUCUUUGGGCCAGCGUGUGUUGUGUGACCUCCAAUGCUUCAAGCUCCAACAUCCUAUGUGCAAAAGCAAAACUGAGGCCAAGUACUUGCUGUCUCACUCCUUUCCAUUCCCAUAUCAUUAGGCAACAGAGUGCUUCUGUAUCAUCCUGUUAUCGACAGACACAAGAAGGCUGCAGACCCCACUCAUGAAAGAAUGCACCAAACACAUUCGCAUUUAUUUUUUUAAGCAAAUGACAAAAACCCAAAUUACCAGCUUUUUUUAAACCUAAGCUUAACAUUACAUAUUUAAACAAUAGUCAAACUGACGAGGUUGCCGACAUCCAUGCACAACUAGAAAACAUCCUUAGUGUACACUAAACCAGAAAUGUAUUACCAUUGAUGCAGUAAUAGCUUUCAUCACUAAAUACUGAAAAUAAAAUUGAAGUAUUUCUGUAGAUUCAUCUGGCAAUGUUAAGUCCACAGCAGGCUGACACUACUCACUCACAAUUCACCACAAUGGGAAGCAGAUCCAUGCUGGUGUUACAGACAGUCUCUUCCUAGCACUACUCAAAAGUCACAGGGCUCACCUCAGAUUACGAUUGGUUUAAAGCAAAGUGCAUACAGAGAUUACAACAAUUUUAAGGACAAAAGAAAUAGAAAAUAAGGUCCUAUUUUGUGGUCCCAACAACAAACUCAAAAAUCUGAUAGAUGGAGGCUCCAAUGAGCUUUUUUAUAAAUACUUUAGUUUAGGUACAGUUAUACAGAAAGUCGAGUUCGUUUCAAAUCUUCAAAAAAAAAGUUCCUGUUAUUCCUCAAAUGGUGCUUGUUAUGGUUUAACAUUUCUGUUAAAUGCGUGCGUUGAGUUACUUGUUAUCCAAGCGUAGCAGGUGCUCCUUACCAUUUAUUGUCAAGGACUUUAACUGCCCAUCUUCUUCAACUUCUACUCUUUCUUGACCGUUCUCCACAAUCC